rnacentral:lncRNA from 1 species
CGCCGCUAGCGCCUCAAUCGCGCGGAGAAUUGAAUCCCUCCACUUCUACUUUCCAGGUCCCCGGACCCUGGGCUUUGAGGGAAAUCCCUCCGCUCGCACCCCUUACUCCAGUCCUCCCAGGUGGCCAAUCGUUGGUCGGGGGAGGAGGUGCGGAGCUGAGGGUUGGGUAGUAAUUUCUGCCAAUCAGCUCUUAGAGGCCAAGGCGGGGAAACUGCGGGGAGGGGAGGAGAUAGAGGCGCAACAGGUUGUCCUGGAAGUGAGGGAAGAAGUGGCCAGGAGUUGCCCACCCCUGCUUGCGCUACUCUCUGGGCUGCUAUUAAUAGAUCUGGUACUCCUGCAGAGGAGCCGGAACACACUGCUGUGCUGGGUUCACUUCAUCUGCCGGCGACCGAGGGUUACCCAUUUUAGCCACCCCCACCCCUCCGCCCUAGUCAAUGAAAUCCCGCGCAGGGCAUGGCCAUUUCCCAAGGAAACUUGCAAACCCAGGGGAAAGUUAGACGCAAUGCUUUUUGAGUUUGAAGCGAAACCCAGAGCGUUUGAGAAGAAAUUCUGGGGCAUAUUUGCAAAAGGACAGCUGGAAUUAAAAGCCAUAGCUAGAGCAGGUUGCACUCCAGCCCAGCCCCCUUCGGCGCGCCCAGACGCUGCCUUCUCCUCGUGAAUUACAAUGGGCACAGUCCUCCGAUUGUGGCAUCAAAACCAUGGUUUGACCAUAAACACAAAACUUCAUCGAUUUCAGAGCAGCACUGAGGGGUGAGGACAAACAGCUACGGACUCAUUAACCAAGAGAAAUCCCUGCUAUGUGCUUGUCACAGGAGAGGCACUCAACAAAUGUCAGCUGAAUGUAUCAAUAGAACCCACACAAGUUCAAACAUCACAUUCAAGUAACAAGAUGUUUAGCUGGGCACAUGGCCACUCAAAAUGAAGACUUCAUUCUUGGCCUGCCUUGCAGGAAGAUAUGGCCACGUGACUGAGAUCUGGCCUAUGGAAUGUGAAUAGAAAUAUAUUGCACCUCCCCCUUUCUUCUUCUUCUGAUCAUUUUAUCCAGUUUCUUGGAACUUGGAUCGGCUGCUGAAACUCCAUCUCAUAUUAUGAGGGGAAAGGCCAUAGUCCACUAGAGUUACUGGUAUAGGAAGCUGGAAAAAGCCUGUGUCCCCAAGGAAUUUUUUGAGCAACGCUAUCAUGUCACUCCUGGAUUGACUGCCUACAAGACAUUUUUAAAUGUGAGAUAAAUAAACCUUCAUAUUUUUAAUCAACUAUUUUUUUCUUCUUUUACUUGAAGCAGUAUUUUAUUCUAACUAAAACAAAUUAAGAACUAAAAUUUAGUAAACCUAAGGUAUUUCAUUGCAUCAAAAAACUUAUGAAAUAAUUUAACACUGUAAUUAUCGAACAUAAAUAGAUAAGCUAACAAAAGGAUAUGUAGGAUGACAAAAUGAACUCAUCCAGCAGUUUCAAAAAUCAUGUCAGUCUUUAAUUUUUUAAAUUUGAACUAUGCUAUACAUAGAAUAUAAUAUACAUAAUUGCACAUGUACAAUUUUUAAAAAUUAGGAUGAAAUGAGCACCUAUAUGACCACUGCUAAAAUUAACAAAUAAAGCACCCACUCUCAGUAUCUUUAGAGCCUUCUGUGUACUCCUCACUAAUACAUCCCUCUCCUUGGUCUAUAUCCCAAAUGUAACUGCUUCCCCAGCUUUGUGUUAAUCAAUCACAUAUUCUGCAAUGUAUUUUUAUCUGCAAGUAACAUCAGAAAAGUUUGUUUAGAAUUCGUUGUUUUUUAGCAUGACAUAAAUUGAGUCAUAUCAGUGCUUUAAUUUUAAUAUUGAACGAGAAAAAAUACAACAUUGACUAAUUCAAGUUUGAUAUUCCCACGGAAUGUUUGGGCACCAUAGACCCACCAAAAGUUUUCCCAAGAAUGAAUGAGUCUUAAGAUUCCUUAAGAUCCCAGUUGCAACAUUCUUCAAAUAAUAGUUAUUGAUUAGUGUAAACAACUCCUCAUCUGCACUCUGAAUUAUAAGGGAUUUUGAUUUGAACCAUUUCGAUUGAGCCUAUAUAAAUUUGCUGUAAAUCAUGAGAGUAUGCUCUAAAGAUAUUUCAUCAUAGCUUAUAUAUCAUUUUUUUCUUUGUCAGAAUUGAAGGCAAGGCUGAAUAAUUAUAAUCAUGUUUAUAUUUAAAUCCAGAAAUAUUACUUUCUCUAUCAUUAUGAAACUAGUGGUUUAACAUGUUUAUUAAUGAUUUCACCCAAAAGACACUUCAAAACAGACAUUAUUGCUACUUGUUUAGUUUUAAUCUUCCAAGAUAAUGACAUAUAUGUUCUGCCAUAAUUUUUGUCUAAUUUUUGUACCCAUUUGUAUCUUUCUUAAUUGCCUAAUUAAAAGAGUGUAACGCAGGUUUUAUAAGUUGAAUUAUUGCUGAGAUACCUUAUGCUUACAAUAUUAUGUGUGUGUGUAUGAAUUUCUAAUCUGUGUCAGGUCAUAAUCAUUUCAGUUUCAAUGAGUUAGGAGUGACAGCUGCUUAGGAAACAACUUGUUUCUAUUAAAGCUAGCAUAUUUGUCAUUAGAGUAAGGAUCUCUUUGGCAGUUUAUUUUGUAUUGUUAAUAAUUAUCAUUAUUUUGACUAUAGGGCAUUUAAUUUCCACAUUUAACAUUUGGUACUGUUAUGUAAGCAACUGACUCAUAAAAUAAAAUCCAAACUGUCAACAUUUUUGCAAUCAUAGGGAGGACAAGUAAGCAAAUUAGAUGAAUACAAGACCUAAAUUAAGGGGCAUGUGAAUCAUACAGAAUUUAUUAAUAAGAAUGUGGAUGAACUAUAGCACUUCAUUCUAUAUUGAUGCUGAAUUAGAGUUCAUUUGACUUAUGGUAGUUACUAAAAUGUCCUUUUUCUUUUUUAUUAAAAAUGGGGAUAUCAACCAUUUUAUUUAUUUUAAUGUUGUGUAUGCCUGGGAGUAAGAAAACAUGUAUAAAAUAUGGUACACAUGGUGACGACUGAGGGCGGAAGCAUGGUUAUCACUGUCUGCAACAUAUCCAUUGUUGUCCCAGCAAUCUUGAUCUGACUGACAUAUUAUAAGAGAAUUACUCAAAUGGCUACAAGUUACAAACCAAUUAGUUUGGGUUAUUAUAAUGAGUCCUCAGCCACAGACAAUUAGAUGCCCCCUUUUCUGUAUAGAUCCCUGAUAUUCUAAAAGCCUGAAAGCUGCUGUGGAGCAUUCGCUAUCCUUCCCACAUUUGAAUGAAAUAAAUUGAUCACAGAAAUAUCCUGUGAUGUACCCUAAGAGAAAGAGCCCUCCUAUCAGACACCCUGGGUUUUAACCCGAACUCUGUCAUUUAUUUUAAAAAGCUGUGUAAUCUUCAGAUAUUUGUUUAAGUUCUUCAUGCCUCAGUCUUUUCAUCAGCAAAGUGGGAAAAAAUAGUAAUAUUUGAUAGGGUUGCUGUGUGGACGAAAUGAGAAAACACAUUCUAAGCCCUUAGAAAAAAGCUUAGCAUAUUAUAAGCACUAAAAAACUCAGUUUUACUAUCAUCCUAAGUGACAUUUACAAUUUCUAGAUAAUUAAAUGAGUCUAGAAUCGUUUUACUUAAAGUACCAAAGAAAAUCACAGGCAGAUGUGGGUACAAGUGCCCCAGAGUCCACGGUCUUAAAUUGACACCUUCUCUAUCUUAUUUCUGAGAACAAAAUUUUAAAUUCCUCAAAAUAUGCCACAAGAAUUAUGGCAUUGGACAUCUAAAAAUUGAGCUGUAUCCAUAUUUUGCUCAUGUAGGACCAGAAAAACUUUAUAAAUAUUUUGGCUCUAACAAUUUUUUCAGAGUGCUGGGGCAGACCUAUGUCUUAGCCAUUUUUGUACACACGGGAUUAGCCCAUCUUACAGAUAGUGGGCACUCAAAAAAUGUUGGUUGAAUGGGUAAUUUCUUAGUUUUGGUCUGUCUGCUCUGCAAGACGAUUCCUGAUCUGAAGGCAUUUCUCAAUCCUCAUCCCAUUGUCCCGCAAUUUAUUGGGUCAAGCUCUACGUAUGUAGAAAAUGGCCAUAAUUUUUACAUUUCUUAUUCUCGUCUAUAUCAAAAUCCUGAAUUUCUCCA